rnacentral:rRNA from 1 species
UACGUAGGUGGCAAGCGUUGUCCGGAAUUAUUGGGCGUAAAGCGCGCGCAGGUGGUUUCUUAAGUCUGAUGUGAAAGCCCACGGCUCAACCGUGGAGGGUCAUUGGAAACUGGGGAACUUGAGUGCAGGAGAGAAGAGUGGAAUUCCACGUGUAGCGGUGAAAUGCGUAGAGAUGUGGAGGAACACCAGUGGCGAAGGCGACUCUUUGGCCUGUAACUGACACUGAGGCGCGAAAGCGUGGGGAGCGAACGGG